GAUUGAACGCUGGCGGCGUGCCUAACACAUGCAAGUCGAGCGGUAACAGGUGUAGCAAUACAUGCUGACGAGCGGCGAACGGGUGAGUAAUGCUUCGGAAUCUACCCAAUGGUGGGAAUAACCAGCCGAAAGGUUGGCUAAUACCGCAUACGUCCCACGGGAGAAAGCAGGGGAUCGCAAGACCUUGCGCCAAUGGAUGAGCCGAAGUCGGAUUAGCUAGUUGGAGGGUAACGGCCUACCAAGGCGACGAUCCGUAGCUGGUCUGAGAGGACGACCAGCCACACUGGGACUGAGACACGGCCCAGACUCCUACGGGAGGCAGCAGUGGGGAAUAUUGGACAAUGGGGGAAACCCUGAUCCGA
rnacentral:rRNA from 1 species